rnacentral:rRNA from 1 species
GACGAACGCUGGCGGCGUGCUUAACACAUGCAAGUCGAACGGAAAGGCCCUGCUUUUGUGGGGUGCUCGAGUGGCGAACGGGUGAGUAACACGUGAGUAACCUGCCCUUGACUUUGGGAUAACUUCAGGAAACUGGGGCUAAUACCGGAUAGGAGCUCCUGCUGCAUGGUGGGGGUUGGAAAGUUUCGGCGGUUGGGGAUGGACUCGCGGCUUAUCAGCUUGUUGGUGGGGUAGUGGCUUACCAAGGCUUUGACGGGUAGCCGGCCUGAGAGGGUGAACGGCCACAAUGGGACUGAGGUACGGCCCAGUCGCCUACGGGAGGCAGCAGUGGGGAGUAUUGCACAGUGGGCGGGAGCCUGAUGCAGCAACGCCGCGUGCGGAAUGACGGCCUUCGGGUUGUGAACCGCUUUCGCCUGUGACGAAGCGUGAGUGACGGUAAUGGGUAAAGAAGCACCGGCUAACUACGUG